GCCAUAGCUCAAUGGUAGAGCAUCUUCUGCUUUGUAUCAGAAGGUCCCAGGUUCAGUCCCUGGCAUCUGCA